CCGACUCUUUGUGACCCCAUGGACUGUAGCCCACUAGGCUCCUCUGUCUCCGGGAUUCUCCAGGCAAGAACACCGGAGUGGGUUGCCAUUUCCUUCUCCAAACAUAUUGCUGGAGGAUUCUCCCAACAAGCCCGCACUUGGGCUCAGCAGAAGGGAGUCCACCCACCCUUGGCACCAGACGUAGACGAUCUGCUGGCAACCAACAGUCAGGUGCCAACUCCGGCCGUGGCUGAACAAAGCACCUCGGGGCAUGCAAUCUGACCUCAUGACGGCCCACCCCAGUUGACUGGCAGUUAGAUGGCCUCCUCUCCAAGAGAAAGGACUGGGUGCUGUACAUUCCUUCAUAUGGAGCGGCCGCCAUGCUAUGCUGUCAAAUCAACUUUGUUUUUAUUGAUCACAUAAUUUCACGUAUGUGAAAACAGGCACCGCACUUCAGGGGUUGUCGGUUACCAAAAAACAAAAAAGAAGAUAUCACAUUAAAUUCAAAAUUCAGAUAAAUAGCAAUAAAUUGUUUAGCAUAUGUAUGCCUCUGCUGCUGCUGCUGCUAAGUCGCUUCAGUCGUGUCCGACUCUGUGUCACCCCAUAGACGGCAGCCCUCCAGGCUCCCCUGUCCCUGGGAUUCUCCAGGCAAGAAUACUGGAGUGGGUUGCCAUUUCCUUCUCCAAUGCAUGAAAGUAAAAAGUGAAAGAGAAGUCGCUCAGUCAUGUCCGACUCUUAGCGACCACAUGGACUGCAGCCCACCAGGCUCCUCCGUCCACGGAUUUUCCAGGCAAGAGUACUGGAGUGGGGUGCCACUGCCUUCUCCAUAUGUAUACCUCACGCUCAAAUAAAAACCUGUUUCGCUGAAAUUCAGAUUUCACCAGGUGUCGUGUGUUUCAUCUGGCAG
ensembl:lncRNA